AACGAACGCUGGCGGCAGGCUUAACACAUGCAAGUCGAACGCCCCGCAAGGGGAGUGGCAGACGGGUGAGUAAUGCGUGGGAACAUACCCUUUUCUACGGAAUAGCUCUGGGAAACUGGAAUUAAUACCGUAUACGCCCUACGGGGGAAAGAUUUAUCGGGGAAGGAUUGGCCCGCGUUGGAUUAGCUAGUUGGUGGGGUAAAGGCCUACCAAGGCGACGAUCCAUAGCUGGUCUGAGAGGAUGAUCAGCCACAUUGGGACUGAGACACGGCCCAAACUCCUACGGGAGGCAGCAGUGGGGAAUAUUGGACAAUGGGCGCAAGCCUGAUCCAGCCAUGCCGCGUGAGUGAUGAAGGCCUUAGGGUUGUAAAGCUCUUUCACCGAUGAAGAUAAUGACGGUAGUCGGAGAAGAAGCCCCGGCUAACUUCGUG
rnacentral:rRNA from 1 species